rnacentral:rRNA from 1 species
CCGGUCGAUAAACCGGAGGAAGGUGGGGAUGACGUCAAGUCAGCAUGGCCUUUAUAUCCUGGGGCUACACACACGCUACAAUGGGAAGGGACAAUAGGUUGCGAAGCCGCGAGGCGGAGCCAAUCCAGCAAAACUUCCCUCAGUUCAGAUUGCAGGCUGCAACUCGCCUGCAUGAAGUUGGAGUUGCUAGUAAACGCAGGUCCAGCCAUACUGCGUUGAAUACGUUCCCGGGGCUU